UUUCGCAAUGCCCGAAAGGGUGACGAAGCGACGCCGCGUGGGUGAGGAAGGCCUUCGGGUUGUAAAGCCCUGUCAGGAGUUAAGAAAUGUAAGUGCGCUAAUACCGCAUUUAUUUGACGAAGGCUCCAAAGGAAGUCACGGCUAACUCUGUGCCAGCAGCCGCGGUAAUACAGAGGUGGCAAGCGUUGUUCGGAAUCAUUGGGCGUAAAGAGCACGUAGGUGGGUUUGUAGGUCAGAUGUGAAAGCCUCCUGUUCAACGGGAGAAUUGCAUCUGAAACUACAGAUCUUGAGUGUAGGAGGGGAGAAUGGAACUUCUGGUGGAGCGGUGAAAUGCGUAGAUAUCAGAAGGAACGCCGGCGGCGAAAGCGAUUCUCUGGCCUAUUACUGACACUCAGUGUGCGAAAGCUAGGGUAGCAAACGGGAUUAGAUACCCCGGUAGUCCUAGCCGUAAACGAUGGGCACUAAGUAGAGGGGUUUUA
rnacentral:rRNA from 1 species